CGGAGGAAGUUUACAAUGGACCGAACAGAGCGCAAACUCUAGGAAGAUUCCUGGCGCCAAAGGAAUUCCUGCGGUCGGGAAUUUCCUAAAAUUCUACUGUGCCAUGCCCUUAUAAUAUGCCACCCUAGCCAGAGGCCCAAAAUUAUGCACUACCCAUUUUGGAUUGGAACCUCCAAAAUGGUGAGCCAAAAUAAACCUUUUCUUUUUAUGUUA